GGUUAAGCGACCAAGCGUACACGGUGGAUGCCCUGGCAGUCAGAGGCGAUGAAGGACGUGCUAAUCUGCGAAAAGCGCCGGUAAGGUGAUAUGAACCGUUAUAACCGGCGAUGUCCGAAUGGGGAAACCCAGUGUGACUCGUCACACUAUCAUUAACUGAAUCCAUAGGUUAAUGAGGCGAACCGGGGGAACUGAAACAUCUAAGUACCCCGAGGAAAAGAAAUCAACCGAGAUUCCCCCAGUAGCGGCGAGCGAACGGGGAGGAGCCCAGAGCCUGAAUCAGCAUGUGUGUUAGUGGAAGCGUCUGGAAAGGCGCGCGAUACAGGGUGACAGCCCCGUACACAAAAGCGCAUGUGCUGUGAGCUCGAUGAGUAGGGCGGGACACGUGGUAUCCUGUCUGAAUAUGGGGGGACCAUCCUCCAAGGCUAAAUACUCCUGACUGACCGAUAGUGAACCAGUACCGUGAGGGAAAGGCGAAAAGAACCCCGGCGAGGGGAGUGAAACAGAACCUGAAACCGUGUACGUACAAGCAGUGGGAGCAUGAGUUUACUCAUGUGACUGCGUACCUUUUGUAUAAUGGGUCAGCGACUUAUAUUCUGUAGCAAGGUUAACCGAAUAGGGGAGCCGGAGGGAAACCGAGUCUUAACCGGGCGUUAAGUUGCAGGGUAUAGACCCGAAACCCGGUGAUCUAGCCAUGGGCAGGUUGAAGGUUGGGUAACACUAACUGGAGGACCGAACCGACUAAUGUUGAAAAAUUAGCGGAUGACCUGUGGCUGGGGGUGAAAGGCCAAUCAAACCGGGAGAUAGCUGGUUCUCCCCGAAAGCUAUUUAGGUAGCGCCUCGUGAAUUCAUCUCCGGGGGUAGAGCACUGUUUCGGCCAGGGGGCCAUCCCGGCUUACCAACCCGAUGCAAACUGCGAAUACCGGAGAAUGUUAUCACGGGAGACACACGGCGGGUGCUAACGUCCGUCGUGAAGAGGGAAACAACCCAGACCGCCAGCUAAGGUCCCAAAGUCAUGGUUAAGUGGGAAACGAUGUGGGAAGGCCCAGACAGCCAGGAUGUUGGCUUAGAAGCAGCCAUCAUUUAAAGAAAGCGUAAUAGCUCACUGGUCGAGUCGGCCUGCGCGGAAGAUGUAACGGGGCUAAACCAUGCACCGAAGCUGCGGCAGCGACACUAAGUGUUGUUGGGUAGGGGAGCGUUCUGUAAGCCUGCGAAGGUGUGUCGUGAGGCAUGCUGGAGGUAUCAGAAGUGCGAAUGCUGACAUAAGUAACGAUAAUGCGGGUGAAAAACCCGCACGCCGGAAGACCAAGGGUUCCUGUCCAACGUUAAUCGGGGCAGGGUGAGUCGACCCCUAAGGCGAGGCCGAAAGGCGUAGUCGAUGGGAAACGGGUUAAUAUUCCCGUACCUGGUGUUACUGCGAAGGGGGGACGGAGAAGGCUAUGUUGGCCGGGCGACGGUUGUCCCGGUUUAAGCGUGCAGGCUGGUUUUCCAGGCAAAUCCGGAAAAUCAAGGCUGAGGCGUGACGACGAGGCACUACGGUGCUGAAGCAACAAAUGCCCUGCUUCCAGGAAAAGCCUCUAAGCCUCAGGUAACAUCAGAUCGUACCCGAAACCGACACAGGUGGUCAGGUAGAGAAUACCAAGGCGCUUGAGAGAACCCGGGUGAAGGAACUAGGCAAAAUGGUGCCGUAACUUCGGGAGAAGGCACGCUGACACGUAGGUGAAGCGGUUUACCCGUGGAGCUGAAGUCAGUCGAAGAUACCAGCUGGCUGCAACUGUUUAUUAAAAACACAGCACUGUGCAAACACGAAAGUGGACGUAUACGGUGUGACGCCUGCCCGGUGCCGGAAGGUUAAUUGAUGGGGUCAGCGCAAGCGAAGCUCCUGAUCGAAGCCCCGGUAAACGGCGGCCGUAACUAUAACGGUCCUAAGGUAGCGAAAUUCCUUGUCGGGUAAGUUCCGACCUGCACGAAUGGCGUAAUGAUGGCCAGGCUGUCUCCACCCGGGACUCAGUGAAAUUGAACUCGCUGUGAAGAUGCAGUGUACCCGCGGCAAGACGGAAAGACCCCGUGAACCUUUACUAUAGCUUGACACUGAACACUGGUCCUUGAUGUGCAGGAUAGGUGGGAGGCUUUGAAGUGUGGACGCCAGUCUGCAUGGAGCCGUCCUUGAAAUACCACCCUUUAAUGGCUGGUGUUCUAACGUAGACCCGUGAACCGGGUUGCGGACAGUGUCUGGUGGGUAGUUUGACUGGGGCGGUCUCCUCCUAAAGCGUAACGGAGGAGCACGAAGGUUGGCUAAUCCUGGUCGGACAUCAGGAGGUUAGUGCAAUGGCAUAAGCCAGCUUGACUGCGAGCGUGACGGCGCGAGCAGGUGCGAAAGCAGGUCAUAGUGAUCCGGUGGUUCUGAAUGGAAGGGCCAUCGCUCAACGGAUAAAAGGUACUCCGGGGAUAACAGGCUGAUACCGCCCAAGAGUUCAUAUCGACGGCGGUGUUUGGCACCUCGAUGUCGGCUCAUCACAUCCUGGGGCUGAAGUAGGUCCCAAGGGUAUGGCUGUUCGCCAUUUAAAGUGGUACGCGAGCUGGGUUUAGAACGUCGUGAGACAGUUCGGUCCCUAUCUGCCGUGGGCGCUGGAGAACUGAGGGGGGCUGCUCCUAGUACGAGAGGACCGGAGUGGACGCAUCACUGGUGUUCGGGUUGUCAUGCCAAUGGCACUGCCCGGUAGCUAAAUGCGGAAGAGAUAAGUGCUGAAAGCAUCUAAGCACGAAACUUGCCCCGAGAUGAGUUCUCCCUGAGACUACAAGUCUCCUGAAGGAACGUUGAAGACGACGACGUUGAUAGGCCGGGUGUGUAAGCGCAGCGAUGCGUUGAGCUAACCGGUACUAAUGAACCGUGAGGCUUAACCUU
rnacentral:rRNA from 1 species